GUAAAUCCGAAGUUCUUAAAAAUUGGAGAGAAAGUUGAUGAAGAUAGGAAACUUGGGAAUAUAGCUUUUUCAAAAGGGGCAUAUUUCUUAGGGAAAAUGGUCUGGGCAAAAGGAUACAGAGAAUUAAUAGAUUUGCUGGCUAAGCACAAGCAUGACCUUGAUGGGUUCAAUUUGGAUGUGUUUGGAAAUGGAGAGGACGCCCACGAGGUUCAGAGUGCAGCUAAAAAGUUAGAGUUGAAUGUAAACUUCUUGAGAGGGAGGGACCAUGCAG
rnacentral:misc_RNA from 1 species